GACGAACGCUGGCGGCGUGCUUAACACAUGCAAGUCGAACGGGAUUUAGUAAACGGAAGCCUCGGUGGAAGAUUACUAAUGAGAGUGGCGAACGGGUGAGUAACGCGUGAGCAACCUGCCUAUGACAGUGGGAUAGCCUCGGGAAACCGGGAUUAAUACCGCAUAAAAUCGUAGAAUCACAUGUUUCAACGGUCAAAGAUUUAUCGGUCAUAGAUGGGCUCGCGUCUGAUUAGCUAGUUGGUGAGAUAACAGCCCACCAAGGCGACGAUCAGUAGCCGGUCUGAGAGGAUGAACGGCCACAUUGGAACUGAGACACGGUCCAAACUCCUACGGGAGGCAGCAGUGGGGAAUAUUGCACAAUGGGGGAAACCCUGAUGCAGCGACGCCGCGUGAACGAAGAAGGUAUUCGUAUCGUAAAGUUCUGUCCUAUGGGAAGAUAAUGACAGUACCAUAGAAGAAAGCUCCGGCUAAAUACGUG
rnacentral:rRNA from 1 species